GAUGAACGCUGGCGGCGUGCUUAACACAUGCAAGUCGAACGGGAAUUACUUUAUUGAAACUUCGGUCGAUUUAAUUUAAUUCUAGUGGCGGACGGGUGAGUAACGCGUGGGUAACCUGCCUUAUACAGGGGGAUAACAGUCAGAAAUGGCUGCUAAUACCGCAUAAGCGCACAGAGCUGCAUGGCUCAGUGUGAAAAACUCCGGUGGUAUAAGAUGGACCCGCGUUGGAUUAGCUGGUUGGUGGGGUAACGGCCCACCAAGGCGACGAUCCAUAGCCGGCCUGAGAGGGUGAACGGCCACAUUGGGACUGAGACACGGCCCAGACUCCUACGGGAGGCAGCAGUGGGGAAUAUUGCACAAUGGGGGAAACCCUGAUGCAGCGACGCCGCGUGAAGGAAGAAGUAUCUCGGUAUGUAAACUUCUAUCAGCAGGGAAGAUAGUGACG
rnacentral:rRNA from 1 species